rnacentral:rRNA from 1 species
GUCUACGGCCAUGCCACCCUGAACAAGCCCAAUGUCUGCUCUCGGAAGCUAAGCAGGAUCGGGCCUGGUUAAUACUUGGAUGGGAGACCACCUAGGAAGACUAGGUGCUAUAGGCA